GAUGAACGCUGGCGGCGUGCCUAAUACAUGCAAGUCGAGCGAAUGGAUUAAGAGCUUGCUCUUAUGAAGUUAGCGGCGGACGGGUGAGUAACACGCGGGUAACCUGCCCAUAAGACUGGGAUAACUACGGGAAAUCGGGGCUAAUACCGGAUAACAUUUUGAACCGCAUGGUUCGAAAUUGAAAGGCGGCUUCGCCUGUCACUUAUGGAUGGACCCCCGUCGCAUUAGCUAGUUGGUGAGGUAACGGCUCACCAAGGCAACGAUGCGUAGCCGACCUGAGAGGGUGAUCGGCCAAACUGGGACUGAGACACGGCCCAGACUCCUACGGGAGGCAGCAGUAGGGAAUCUUCCGCAAUGGACGAAAGUCUGACGGAGCAACGCCGCGUGAGUGAUGAAGGCUUUCGGGUCGUAAAACUCUGUUGUUAGGGAAGAACAAGUGCUAGUUGAGUAAGCUGGCACCUUGACGGUACCUAACCAGAAAGCCACGGCUAACUACGUGCCAGCCGCCGCGGUAA
rnacentral:rRNA from 1 species